rnacentral:rRNA from 1 species
AGAAUCAACGCUGGCGGCGUGCCUAACACAUGCAAGUCGAACGAGAAAGUGGAGCGAAUCCAUGAGUAAAGUGGCGCACGGGUGAGUAACACGUGACUAACCUACCCUUGAGUGGGGGAUAACCUAGGGAACCUGGGCUAAUACCGCAUAAUAUCGAGAGAUCAAAGGAGCAAUUCGCUUAAGGAGGGGUCGCGGCUGAUUAGCUAGUUGGUGAGGUAAUGGCUCACCAAGGCUAUGAUCAGUA